rnacentral:rRNA from 1 species
AGCUUAGGUGGCCUAACAUGUCAACUGUGAAAACCCGGAGCUCAACUCCGGACUUGCAGUUGAAACUGGUAGGCUUGAGGACGGUAGAGGAAGACGGAACUGCCAGUGUAGGGGUAAAAUCCUUAGAUAUUGGCAGGAACGCCGGUGACGAAGGUGGUUUUCUGGGCCGGUUCUGACACUGAUGCUCGAAAGCCAGGGGAGCGAACG